CAGGAAGUUUCUUUGUGUGCCUUCUCAGUCAGAGCCUACCACAAAGGUCACCACUUCUGAUUUUUCCACCACAAAUCAGGUCAUGACCACAGUAUAUACCAGUGAAGCUUCUGCCUGGUGCCUCUGCAGCCAUUAGAAUCUGGAGAUCCUGGGAGACAGCUGUCAACCAGGACAGCGAUUGGUUCAUACCAGACACUCAGACAGAUGGAGGGAUGGAUGACUGCUCAUUGAGUAACUGAACGACUUCUCUCUGGCCUGAUGACAGUUUUGCAUCAAAGCCAGAAUGGACCAAAGGACUCCUUGCCUUCCUAAAUGUGGGUCCGUGCUGAGCAAGCCCCUUCAGCUCUCUGUCUAGGUGGUUCAGCUCACCAUGCAUUCAGUGAAAUAAGAACAGGGCACUUACUUCCUUUUUGGAGGGACAUUGUCCACAUGAGUGAGAUCUCAUCUACCAAAUGUUUGGAACUUUUGGAAGCUGCUCAAUAAAUUCAGACAAUUCCUACAGCAUGGCUUAGCCAGCGGGCAGCCAGAAGUCAUCGUAUGUGAGGUUUCACCCCAACAGCGUGGGGAUCCACUGUGAUGGUCCCUGCGCUCACCGCUGUAGGAUUCCAAAGCCUCGCACCUCUGUUAAGCUUUUGGAAUGUGGACAAAGCAUUCCAUCAUGUUAGCGGGGCACUCGCUUCCAUGGUGCUCGGCUUAUUGUUGUGGUCAUUCCAGGGCUUCUGUCUGGCCUUUGUCUUGCAUUCUCUCAUGGAGAAGCCUCUGCUACAAUCACUCAGAGUAAUCCCUAGUGCAGUGGUGCUUUUAGUGAAUUGAGGAGGCCGUCCAUUCACAGAAGCAGCUCUGUAGUAAAGUCAGUUUUCAGGAGCAUCAGGUCUAAUAAAGAAUUAUAA
ensembl:lncRNA